rnacentral:lncRNA from 1 species
GAUUAUCUCAGGCUUCUGUAAAGCAUCGAUUUUGGGAAAAAUACAGAAAAUCGAUUAGCAAACAGGACAUAAUCGACUAUCCAGUGGUUCAACACAUGCCGCUUUUUGACAAAAAUUCAGAUAAUCCACUUUUCAAACGCCUAUGCUCAAGCCACCGCCGGCUUUUCGGGAGAGUCAAGUGGCACUCAAUACGGGCACUUGGGUAUGGAAGAUGUUGAUGAGGUGCCGGAAACCGAUGAUGACGAUGACGGUGAUGAUGAUGAUGAUGAAGCAACGACGAGUGACGGAGAUGACAACAGCUCCUAGAAGCUUUUAGAGCUCAAGCUCGACUCUCUUUCUC